AUUUUGAGUGGGUCAGAUUAAAAAUAAUAAUUAAAAAUCCAACAAAUAAUUUCUCUAAAAUUUACAUAUAUUAUUUAAGUUUAUGUAAUGAAAAUAAAUAAGUAUUUAACUAACUAAUUAUAUUUUUAAUAUACCUUCAAUAUUUCUGGUGAAUUCUAAUAGAAAUAUUUGAUAAUUAUUUACUUGUACUGAUCUGUUUUAGAAACUAAAAUUAUUAAGUAUUUCCUACCAAUUUUCCUAAAUAAAGUUCCAGCUUAAUAAAUGAAAGUUUAAAUAAAUUGAGUAAAUUUCGCGGCUAAAGUGAUCACGUGUGCAGCUCCGCAGGAAAAAAAAAAAUCUGCUUUCCUCAGCAGCGACGUCGACUAGCCAUACACCUCACAACUCCUGUUUCGUAGCUUAAUCGAAGUCACCUGAAGGACGGCUUUCCUCAGCAACGGCAAGGCCCGCACUCCUCUCAUAUUGUGAAGUUUAACAAGUUUCGCGGCUCAAACAAGAGGCACCUGUCACUGAAGGACUGCUUUUCUCAGCAACGACGUGAACAGCAUCACUCGAAUUUCCUGGUUCAGCUGAUCUACCCAUCUUCGUACAAGCAGAGUUGGCAGAGGAGGUCAUAAAAAUCUACAUCCUUCGGGACAAUGAUGGGGCAGUCAGCGAUGUAAUCUUGGGAAUCACAGCAGAGCCUGCUGCCAUCUUUUGGGAGUCACAUUGGAUUUGAGAUAUCCCAAGACCCACAAAUACAGGUCCUUCUCCAAAAAUUAGCAUAUUGUGAUAAAGUU